GAGAGGAAGGCCAGGGCCAAGAAGAGGUGAAGAGGAGAAUAGGAGAAGGGCAGGGCCGAGAAGAGGAGAAGAGGAGAAGGGCAGGGCCGAGAAGAGGAGAAGAGGAGAAGAGGAGAAGGGCAGGGCCCAGAAGUGUAGCAGAGCUGAGGAGGAGCAGAGGAAAAGAGGAGAAGGGCGUGGCCCAGAAGUGGGGAAGAAGAUAAGAGGGGAAGAGGAGAAGGGUGUGGCCCAGAAGACGAGAAGAGGUGUAGGGCAGGGCUGAGAAGAGGAGAAUAGGAGAAGGGCAGGGCCGAGAAGAGGAGAAGAGAGGAAGGGCAGGGCCACGAAGAGAAGAAGGUCUGGUUUUUCAGCCAGGCUAUAGGCAGCAUAUGCUGUCUAUCUCAAGAUACUAAGAGUAUUUAAGUGGGAAAGUAUCUGGACUUAUAACUUAAAAUUUGUUGGCCAAAUCUAUCUGACCUCUAAUUUUGCAAACUCAGAUCUCUGAAGCUGAUCGUGGAAGCUACAGUUUCUUUCACUUCACCUUCAUAUUGAGUUUUUCAGCUUUCUUUGAGCAGAUUAUAAACUGUACAUAAUCCAAACUACUUCCCUUUUCAGACUGGUAUUUUUUUUUAUAAAUAUCAAUUAAACAUGGGAUUUGAAUUACCAAGGCAUGAAAAAGUUUUGAUCCUAAUCCAUAGUGUAAUUAUAAUAGGCCCAUUUCAAAGCUAGGCGCAAAAAUACUAAAUUGGACACAGAACAAGGCUUUCCCUUUGUAACUUGUGGUCAAAUGAUUAAGAUGCUUUAUAGUAUAAUACAAUUGGAUAAAUCAGUCCUGAUCUUUAGCAGGCAUGAAUCACAAAACAGGAGCAGCUGUAGUACUCAUUUUUU
rnacentral:lncRNA from 1 species